ensembl:lncRNA
CGGAGCCAGAGAGCAGUGAUUGGUCAGACCAUAGAUAAUAUAGAAGACAGCGCCCUGGCGUAUCUAGUCUAUGUGUAUCUAUGGUCGGCACGUCUGGUAGCAUCUCUGGCUGCUGUUGAUCUUGUUUUUGGAGUAAAACACGGUGGAAGCUGAAUUAGUGAGGAUGACUCCUGCUCCUGUCAUCUCUAAGCUCCUCACACAUCUUUACCUGCACAUGAGGAAAAUCACUCCUGUAGAAUGCAGAUGUUCAGAUGGAGAUGAUGCCACAUCUGGUCCAGCUGAUGGAAGGUCUUGAAGUUCUCUGACUGGCCUCGACUGAAGAUGGUCGUCUCACUGGAUUUAAGGUUCAGAUGCUCAGUAACAAACUCCACCAAUGUGCCAACAGGGAAGCUUUAGGUUUAUUAAAUGUUGCUAUGAAGGUAUCGCUGUUUUUCUUUGUGAAUGCAAUGUGCUCCAACUGAAACUUGAAUUAGAACUUAGAAGUAAAUCCUUCCAUCUGAAAGGAUUUAGUUGCAUUAAUAACCUCAUAACAUUCUAAUUUUUAUUCCAGUCUUGGUUGGAAAUAGAAUCUCUGUAUUGAUUCAGGUAAGAACUGAACUUCACAGCAUGUUGGAGCAAAACAACCAGAUGAAAACUGUGAUGGUGUUGGAUUGUCAGACCGUAAUGUUGCAGCGCAAAGCAGCUUUUCUAGCUCAGUUCAUUCUGACAUUCAGCUAUGAAUCAACACAGCAGAUGGUGAUCCAUGCUGUGGAAGUCUCACAUCUCCUGAUUUAAUGGAGCUGCUUUGCACUUUUUACACUGUUUAUUCACCAACACUUUAUUUAAUAAAAGUCCCAUCUAGUUUUUAUGAGGAAUGUGGUGUUUUAAUUUCUCUGUGAAUAACUGCAGUCUAAUGCAACAGCUGGAGUUGUAACAUCUGUCCUGAUAUUGAUCAUGAAGUAUUGAUCAGAAUACUUAUGGUUAGCAGUCAUCCCUGAAGUUUUACAUUAAAAUCUUUACUUGUGUUGUGAACUUUGGUAAGAAACAGAAAUGUUAGCGUUGCCAUGGAUACAUGAGUGUUAAAUUCUGUCCAUGUUUCCAUUUUGGGAAAUGCAGUCCAGUUCCAGAAUGUGGAGGAAUUUAGUCUCACAAUCACAGACAACAAAUAUUAUCUGAAAGUCGGGUUAUUGUUGUUUAUCAGCACAAUACAAAGAUUGUUAGAAAUAUUCCAGUUAAGACUCUAGAAUAUCAUGAUUUAUGUAAAUUUACCUCAGUAAUAUGAAUGUUCAGGUUAAGAUUGUACAGUGAUAUUUAUUAUGCAAGUUUAGCUGAUUAAAGUUUAUGACUCUGCACUAAAAUAUUACUUAAAUUGACAUCAUUAUUAUAAUAUUUAGGGUCAGACCCUACAGUAUUGAGAUUAAGAAAUCAAAUAUUCUAUAAAAUGUAAAUACACUGAACUCAUUUGGAUAUAUUUAAGUGAGACUCUACAAUAUUAUUUGACACAAAUCUGUCUAAAUCAAAAUUUUAAUAAUUUUCACGCCAAACAUUUACUGGACUGAUUUAAAUAUUAAAAUCACUCCUUUCUAAUCCUCUGCUGUACGUUCAAACCUGAGGCCUUAAAUAGAAACACACAAGUAUCUGAUGGAAGGAACUUCUGCAGAGUCCUGGUUCCAGAACAUGAUGAUAGAAUUAUAGACAAACUUUAACAAAAGCUGCCUGAGAGUUUACAGGUUUUUAUGUUGGAUUUCUUCAGUAAUUUAAUGAGUUAUCAGCAAUAAUCAAGUGUUUAUUUGAUGAACUUCAUUUCCUAAAACAUCCAGAAUUGGAGCUCAUAUCUUUGGCAGCUGUAAAGUUUCUGCUCCUUCAAAGUUCACAACACAAUGAAUGAAUUCCUAAAACACUCUCAAUGCUGGAGAGCGUUUGUGAUGCUGAAGCAGUGAUCAGUUUUUCUGUUUCUUCUCUGGAGAUGCACAAUGAGGGACGUCUGCAGCGACUGAGAAAGAGUCUCACCACAUCCUGACAUGAGGAAAAAGACUUUAUUGAAGACUACAAUGAGAAAAACUAUCAGACAGCAGACGGCUGCAUUCAAGCUGAGCUCUGAACAUUUGAUCUGGAACAGGAAUUCAAUAACGGCAGCAUGAGCUUCAUUUCAGUCUGUAGCUGCUGAAUUCAUGGAUGAAUCAUCUGGCACUAGAGAAGAAGACCAUCAAACAUCCAUGUCAGCUGAUGGAGGUCCAAGAGUCUCACCAAAAAAACAACCUACAGAGUGAAGACCUUGAAUCUGAUUGGACGGCCUCCUAUUCAGCCACAUGCUACAGGAGGAGCCCUAUGAGGAUGAGCUGGUCCACCUGAUGGAGGCCAGUCGCUGUGGUUCAAAGCCAACACCGACUACGUGGACUUCUACUGGACCACAUGGAGACCUUCAAACCGGACCAACAAGUUCAGCGACUCCCCGACUCGUGGGUCUGAGGAUGCCGCCGAGCCUCGGUCCAGCCGGCCUCCUGUCUGUGGGUGUUUGAGUGCUGAGAGGUUUGUGGAUGCAUGUGAACGUUCUGUGUUGAAACAGCAGCUUUGGACUCAGUAACGCCGGGAAAAACCAAGAGCUCCUUUAUUUGUGACUUCCACUAAAAAACUGAUGAAAAUAAGUUUGCCAGGGUUCUGACUGAUAACAGUUUAUUAAAUAAUGAAAAUAACAGUUUAAAUAUUCCUUUAAACAAUCCUUUUAGGUUUACAUUUCCUUUACACUGACUUCUUGGAAUAUGCACAAGUAUUUUGAGUGGAAUAUACCAUUAAGCCCAAUGUUCAAGGGUUCUUCUGGGAAUAUACCAUUAAACCAACCUUUUAGGUAAAUGUUGCAGGAUGUUGAGUAGAAUAUACCAUCAGAUCAACCUUUUAGGUCUACAUUGUAAGAUUUUAGAGUAGAAUAUUACUCCAAACCAUCCUUUAGGUCUACAUUUAAGGAUUUAAGGACAUUCAAAUAUUUAAGGUGGAAUAUUCCUUUAAACCAACCUAAAUUUCAUGUUUUGAUCAUUAUCAAGUGAGAAACCUCAAUCCAGACUCCUCAUAAUCACGUUUGAGAUUUAUGCUGCUGUUAUUUGUUUAGUCCAGACUAAAUGACAGAAAUCCACAACUGUAAUUUUAUUUCAGGACUUGGUUAUUGAAUGUCAGAACAAUCCAUGUGACUCUAAAAACUCAACAGCUGUACAAACUCUAAGAUUAAAUUCUCCACAAGGAUCCAAAAUAAGUUGGACUUCUACAUGAGCGCUUUAAUUAUUCUUCAUCUACUUCCUGAAAAGUUUGGUCAAUAAAAAAGACAAAAACUAAUAUUUUCAGCUGAACUAAAGACAGACUUUGUGAUUUUUCUGCUCACAUGUUGUGUUGUUGUAAACUUACUCUUUCAAAUAAAUACCUGCCUAACCCCCUGGAAACCAGCGUUUGUCCUGUUUUUGUGUUGCUCCUCGGCGACCCUAGACAGCCGGGUCGUAAUGUUUUUAGAGCAACACACCAUACUAUGACGUUUUUACAAUGAUGGUUCUACUAUGGAACCAGUUUGACAUGUUCAGGUGUUCUUUGUGUGAAAACUCAGAGAUUUCAGGUAUCAGAAGGUGGUUUUCAACUUUCUUUGUUAACUUUCUGCUUCAACUUUAAACUAAAUUUCCUUCACUAAGCCAGCCCUCUGGACUUCCAGUAAGCUGUGUUCCUAUUGGCUGUCCAGGUGGCUGCUUGGUGUUAUCAGGAACACCUGAGCAGCUCAGUGUCUUCCUGCUUUAUUUAGCUGCA